CUGGCAUGUGUGCCGGCCGCUGACGAGUGCGCCAACAUAAACUGCGGUAAUAUUUUUUGAAACCGGCAAUGUAUGCCGGCGCUGGCAUGGUGCCGACAUGAUGGAAAAAAUUCCGUGGACACCGGCUGCAAAGCCCAUCAUGUGCAUACCCUAGCCCAGAUUCGUCCACGUGUCCCUUCCUUACAUCCAACGUCCGUCGCUCCUUCCGAUCCCGUCGCUGCUUCACUUGGCUCAGAAGCGCUCGCUCGGCUCCAAACGCGUACGAUCCCGGCUCCCUCACGAGGCAAGGCCGGCUGAGGCGGAGGCCCACCCAGUCAUUCCCUUUCCUUUGGUCUCGCAAUCACAUGUUCCAACUUCCAAGCGUCCGCCGCCGCCGCCGAAUCCUCCGUCGUACGUGGCUGGUCCCCGUCUCCAGCGCCAGCCUCUCGGUCCACCACACGCACCUUCUGGAUCUCGCCCAGAACUACCAUGAAAGAGAAGGUUUCAAAUUGGCAAGGAUUCCCCCUGGUCCUGUUAUCAAGAUGCUAGAUUAGGGAGCAAAGAGCAAGCAGGAGGCCACCUACUCGUGCAGCAGUCAUACCCCACCAUCAUUCUUCAGGACAAAGACCCCCCAAGUACACUGCUAGAACAACACAACUGACGCCAAGGAAACACAAAUGGACAAGAUGCAAUGCUUGCUGAUGAGUAGACUUCCUAGUAGGAUUUUUGAGAUAUUUCAAAUGUGGAGCAGACUUCAUGACAAAUGUUGUACCACACUAUAGUUGAUUGCUCUCCCCAACAAUUUCCAACUAUAAUAUAAAGUUGUACACUGUAUCUUUUCAUCUGAAGUACAUAUGAAUCAAAUUGGAGAAUAUGCUA